rnacentral:rRNA from 1 species
UACGAAGGGGGCUAGCGUUGCUCGGAAUCACUGGGCGUAAAGCGCACGUAGGCGGAUUGCUAAGUCAGGGAUGAAAUCCUGGAGCUCAACUCCAGAACUGCCUUUGAUACUGGCGAUCUUGAGUCCGGGAGAGGUGAGUGGAACUGCGAGUGUAGAGGUGAAAUUCGUAGAUAUUCGCAAGAACACCAGUGGCGAAGGCGGCUCACUGGCCCGGUACUGACGCUGAGGUGCGAAAGCGUGGGGAGCAAACAGG